rnacentral:rRNA from 1 species
UACGAAGGGGGCUAGCGUUGUUCGGAAUCACUGGGCGUAAAGGGCGCGUAGGCGGCCGAUCAAGUCGGGGGUGAAAGCCUGUGGCUUAACCACAGAAUGGCCUUCGAUACUGUUUGGCUUGAGACCGGAAGAGGUUAGUGGAACUGCGAGUGUAGAGGUGAAAUUCGUAGAUAUUCGCAAGAACACCAGUGGCGAAGGCGGCUGACUGGUCCGGUUCUGACGCUGAGGCGCGAAAGCGUGGGGAUCGAACAGG